CAGAUCUGGGCGGGGAAGAGCCCUGGACGUCAGCCUGGAGGCCCGAGCCCCGAGCCCCGCUCCCCGCCCCGGGGCCCCUGCCCCCCCCCAUCCCCGGCCCCUGCCGGGUGUCUCCCCGUCCUCCCCGCAGCCCUGGUCUCGGAGCCCAAGAGCUCACGAGGACCUGGGCCCUGCCUCACCUUCCUGAUCCAUAUCUGGGUGACGAUCUCAUCCCGGUAGUUGGUCAGGAAGGGGCCCAUGUAGGACAGGAAGGCGGCGGCCAGGAGACAGUCACCCACCAGGUAGCCCAGAUCCUCCUCCAGGCCCUGGGUGGGGGGCGGGGGGCGGGCAGGGGGUGUAAGGAGGGCCCCGGGCACUGGGGAGCGCUGGCUCUCUCCCCCCCGGAUACUGGCUCCAUCAAAGAGGCGCUUUGUCCUAAACCUUCGGCCCUGAGGAGUCCAACCUGGUUCUAAUCCCUUCGGAGUCGCCGUCUUUCACAGUGAUCCUGUUUACAUUCUGCGCGCCUUCUCGCUGGCCAGCCCUGACACCAGCAAGCCGGCUCGCUCCAGCUUCAUUUCCAUGUCCUCGGACUUCCUGCGGAGCUCCUCCUUCUGGGCCAGCUUCUCGUCGUACUGCUUCUUCAGCAUCUCUAGCUUCUCGGCCACCUGGGAGGGACCAGAGCGAACGGCUCAAACGCCACUCUUGGGGCCGCGCUGCCCGGGGGUUCCGGUGGCCCAUCUGCCGUUUCCAGGCCUUGGGGCCUCCGUGGCCCGGUGUGCCGUGUGACGAUGCUAACCCCCACCCCGUAGGGCUGUCGCAGACAGAAAACAAGACAAAAUAUGUGUGGUGA